UUCUAAAGCUAAAUAUUUAUGGGAAACCGAUAGCAAACAAGUACUACGAAGGAAAGAUGAAAAGAACUUUGAAAAGAGGGUUAAAAGACUUGAAAUCGUUGAGGAGAAAAGCGGUAGAAGAGAAAUGAUUUCAUUUAGAAGUAUGUAGUUUUGUAGGCGUCUUCUGCGGUAAUGGUACUUCAUAGGGCCUAGCUGUAGACCGGUGUCGCAUUGCUGCUUUUUCUGGAUGAAGUGCAAAAUGAGGUCUCGCUUGCGGAAACGUCUCUAGGGAGGACUCUGGCCUCGACGCUGGAAGCCCUGGUCUCCAACGCAAGCCUGGCCUGAGGGCUGCAUCUGCAGAUUUUGCAAA
rnacentral:rRNA from 1 species